AUGGCCCCAGAAUCACACUAAAAGUGUAGUUAAACUCUUCAAUUUAGAAUCCAUAGUUCCUGUCCUUGUAAAACACAGGAUUUCCAUCUUUUUUGCUACAUCUAAUGCCACUGUGAGUACACUUAAAAAUGAAAAUAUUUAGCUUAGCUCUGUCCCUUCUUCUCCUGACAUGGUUUCUGUCCUUAUUUCCAUUGUAAAACCUUAUAGAGACUAAUAUAUUCAAGGCUCUGCUAAAGAAGAACAUUGUUGAAAUGAAAAUAUGAAUAAAUACAUUGCAACAGUGGAUAUGCUAGAUUAACUUACACAGAAUGGAAUAAGUAGUGCAACAGUUGUCUUUAUACUGGAAAUGCUGAGAACCCAGUAGAUGCUUAGAUUACAAUGCUAGACAUCACAGCAGCACCAACCUGGCACUGAGGACCUGGAUGAUGAUCAGAGAACUGCUGUUCUUCAGUCAAUAUUGAAAAGCUUAAGAGACAAUGUUCUGAUAGCAGUAACCACCGACUAUGGCCUAAAUGAUUUCAUCAGCAUGAAGCAAAAGUGGGCAACCAAGAAACACUGAUUCGUCCUUGGAUCUCAUUAUAUCCAGGGCUGUUAGUGGAUGGUGUCUCCAAGGUUAAUUCUUCUGAUUAUGUCUUCACAGACCUGGAUAGAAGAUUUUUGAUUCCAAAUGUAUCAAACAACAUUGACCAUCACAGUCAGUACAGUUUCAUCACUACCAUUUUUGAGCAGCACCUUCACAUGUGCAGAGGUAGAAAUUUGUAAGAAGAUGGAUUUUGAAAACAAAACAAGACAAACCUUGAGGAAAGACUAUGUGGUGGAGUAAUGAGACAACUGCUGCCUCUGUGGGUCUUCAGUGCAUCCUUGACUUCCUUAAAGAACCUCACACAUCAGAGACUGCUUUUAGUUGAACUUUAUGCAAACAACACAAUUGUUUCUUAGAACAACUAUAUCCCCUCAAUUUUUUAUACCACUUUAACUUUGUUGUAGGUAUGACCAUUUAUAAAAUCAUAUCAAUGUGACCAACAGUCAAUUCUAUCAAAUACCAAAGCAAACUAAGUACAUUAAAAAUAAUGGAGGUGCAUUUUAAAAAGACAUAACAGAAAAGAAUGUCACCAGCAACUUAAUCUCAUUGUUCUUUCUUA
rnacentral:lncRNA from 1 species